rnacentral:misc_RNA from 1 species
UAACUGCGUGCAGACGUGUGAACUGCAGGACACAUGAACACCGACGUUUCGAACGCAAAUGGCGGUCUAAAGUAAAUUUUAGACCACGUCUGGCUGAGGGUCGGAUUUGAAAUAAAAACCAAAGUUACUCAAACUAAUGGCUUUAUAUGAAUUUAUAUUGUGAGCCUGUUUGUUUAAAAAAUACAAAAGUUUCAUCGCUGGGUUUUACAGCCCGGUUAGAACUGUUAGUAUGUAUAUGGAAGCUCGAAAGGGCUAGCUAAUUUGAGAAAAAUAAUAAAUAGAAUUGGUGAAAACAUAUCAUACUACAAGUGUUUUUAUAUUAUAUAAAACAAAUUCAAACAUACGACCUCAGAUUAGGCGAGAUUACCCGCUAAAUUUAA